rnacentral:tRNA from 1 species
CGGUGUAGCUCAGUGGUAGAGCACUUGCCUGCCAUGGGCAAGGCCCUGGGUUCAAUUUCCAGCACUG